CACCGUUUUGAUGAUUUUUUAUGGGCAACUGCAAAUGCCGUAGCGUCGUGCGGCAGCUGCGCUACCUGCAACACUUAGACUUCACGCGGUCGUUGUGACACGAACGGGAACAGUUGGCGCUGCCUGUUUCCCAAGGCGCUACGCAACGCUGCGCCGCAGCGGCUGAGUAUUUGCUAUCUGUCCCUGCUUUGCUUGCUACUGUUGUUGUUGUUGUUUUAGUAGUUGUUGCACCAUAGGUACAAGCCUGUUAUAGACGUGUUCUGCUGUGGCUGUUGCCACUAAUUGCCAAUUUGAUCACUCAAUGUUUGAACAAAUUUUCACUUAGUUUCAGUUGCGUUUUGCAUCUGCAACAUUCUCAUUGCGGCAAUUAGAAAUAUUUUCGUUGGACACGCGCGCGCCUCGAGAAAUUUAUUUAAUAUUCUUUUUUCCCCGUUCACUUUUGCUAGAAUAUUUGAUUUGUUUGUUGUGUUUGUGUGUACGGUUUCACCGCGUGCCGUUAUAGCCCAUUUAUUUAAUUGUGCCGCAAUUAGUGCCUAAUUGUUGUAGUAAUAUAGUCGGUGUUACCUUGUCUAUUCAUCCGUUUACUGUGUGCUUCCCUCACUGUGCGCUGCGUGCGAAAUGUUCGAUUCCAAGUAUAGUUAUAGAAGACGGCCGGCCGAUGUGUUUCAACUAAUGUAUCCCAGUUACUUUCGUAAGCGUUAUUAUUACAACAAUGAUUCUUAUGGGCGUACAAUGGGUCCACGUCCAACUAUUUAUCGGCGGCGUUUUGCGAGACCUUUACUACUACCAACACCAGAUCAUCCAAAUAUGAAUGGGUACAGUCGCAAGUCACCAUCGAAGCGCCGCUAUGAGGGCUCGAAGUAUCCAGUGUUGCCGAAGAAGAAGCCACGCACGGGCAAGGAGCGCAUACCGCAACCGAAGAAUACCGUCGCCAUGCUGAAUGAGCUGCGUCAUGGCUUGGUCUACAAGUUGGAGUCGCAAACCGGUCCGGUCCAUGCACCGUUAUUCACUAUAUCCGUUGAGGUCGAUGGCCAAAAGUAUAUGGGACAGGGUCGCAGCAAGAAGAUCGCACGCAUCGAGGCGGCCGCUACGGCGUUACGCAGUUUUAUACAGUUUAAAGAUGGCGCUGUGCUGACACCGCUGAAGCCGACGUGUAAUCUUGAUUUCACAAGCGAUGAACAUCUGGAAAACGGUAUUGUGAAUUAUGAGAACAUAAGCACGGAUAGAUUAGUCCCGCUUUUAGACGCACUGUUCAGGCAUGCGAAAUUUAUUAAAAAACUGACACCGUUCAUGCGGGUAACCGAUUGUGCAUUGAGCAUGACAAAUGUCAAUAAAAGCGCCAUCACUGUGGAUGGUCAAAAGAAAGUGCCAGAUAAGGGACCUGUUAUGCUGCUCUAUGAGCUCUUCAACGAUGUGCACUUCGAUUGUUCGACUGUAGAUGGCGCGCAGAAUAAUUGUCGCUUCAAAAUGACGGUAACGGUGAACAACAGCAAGUUCGAUGGCACAGGCCCCUCCAAGAAGCUGGCAAAGAAUGCCGCCGCCAAAGCAGCACUCGCUUCACUGUGCAACAUCUCAUACAGUCCCAUGAUGCAUCCGCAGAAGAAUGUGCCGCUGCCCAUUGACGAUAAGACCUCAUCGAUGGAAUUGCCGCAGAUACACGCCGACACCAUCGGUCGGCUAGUGUUGGAGAAAUUCAUGGAGGUCAUCAAGGGGCAGGAGUCGUAUUCUCGCCGCAAAGUGUUGGCCGGCAUUGUGAUGACCGAGGAUAUGAAUUUCAAUGAAGCCAAAGUAAUUUCCGUGUCCACUGGCACCAAGUGCGUCAGUGGCGAGCACAUGAGCGUUACCGGCGCCGUGCUGAACGAUUCCCAUGCAGAGAUCGUGUCACGCCGUUGUCUCAUGAAAUACUUAUAUGCUCAAUUAGAACACCAAUGCAGUCAGACCACUGCAAAUCAGUCGAUUUUCGUGAGGAAUCAAGACAAUGGGCAAUACCCGUACAAACUAAAAUCCGGUGUUCAUUUCCAUUUGUACAUCAAUACAGCGCCUUGUGGUGAUGCACGGAUUUUUAGUCCUCACGAAAAUGACACUGGUGUUGACAAACAUCCAAAUAGAAAGGCGCGCGGUCAAUUGCGUACGAAAAUCGAGUCGGGUGAGGGCACCAUACCGGUCAAAAGCAAAGAGGGACUACAAACAUGGGAUGGCGUACUGCAGGGUGAACGCUUGCUCACCAUGUCCUGCUCCGAUAAGAUUGCACGCUGGAACAUCGUUGGCAUACAGGGCUCACUGUUGGCCUCCAUAAUCGAGCCGAUUUAUUUGCAUUCCAUAGUUUUGGGCAGUCUAUUGCAUCCCGAGCAUAUGUAUCGUGCCGUCUGCGGCCGAAUAGAGAAAUCCAUACAAGGUCUUCCGCCACCCUAUCAUUUGAAUAAGCCACGCUUGGCUUUGGUCACAUCGGCUGAGCCGCGUAAUCAAGCUAAAGCACCGAAUUUCGGCAUCAAUUGGACGAUUGGUGAUAGCGAGGUGGAGGUGGUGAAUUCGCUAACCGGCAAAACGGUCAACAAUCAAAUAUCGCGCAUUACCAAGCAGAUGUACUUCAUGAAGUAUGGCUAUUUGAUGAAAAAUUUGCCCGGCAUACCGAAUCGCAAGCUGACUACCGAUUACGGGCAAACAAAGGAGAGGGUUAAGGACUACCAGAUUGCCAAGAAAGAGUUAUUUGCGGCUUUUCGUCGCGAAGACUUGGGCAGCUGGCUGAAGAAACCAAUGGAACAAGAUCAAUUUGCGCUUCCGGAAUGACUCCAUUGUCAUCCUUUUGUUAAUAUCGUGAGAAGAAAUACCAUAUACGAUAGAAUCCAUUGUGAAAGGCAAUUGCAACUAAAUGAAACAAUACAAAUAAUACCAAAAGAAAAACAAAAACAAAUGUUAACAGUUAAACGCAUGCAUAGUUUUGAAUCGCGUAAUAUGUGGAAGGAUAUGGAAUCUGAAUUGAGUAUGGAACCAAUACUUGAUCAAGAAGUCGUUGAAGUCGAAGAAAGACGUGACGCGUUUAAACAUUAUUUGUGUUUGUUUGUGUACCGUGUGUCUGUAAGAGCGUUUGCCGUGUUGUGAUAUGGAUUAAAGCUGCGCAACAGUAUUAGUACCAGUUUAGAAAAGAAAAAACAAAAACAACAAAAUUACUAUAUUACUAUAUUUGCAUAAACAUUACACACAUUUUGUUAACUACAAAUAUUAAGCAGUAAUUGUAAUUAUGACGUGCUGCAAGAAUCUCUUACGUAUUUUAUGUACAUAUAUAACUACAACAACGUUCAAAUUGUACGUUAAGUGCAAGUCAACGGGUUGGUCACUAUAAUUUUGCAUAAUUUAUGUAUGUAUGUUUCUUUCUUUAUUUGCUCUUUAAUUAUUGAUUUCAAAGUAUUUUAUUAAAUUUCGUUUAUAUAUAUAUUUUUUAGUUGGUUUGAUAAUUUUAGUAAACUUAUUUGUUAUGUUUAUAUAAUAUUUCAAAUGUUUUCAAUUUUUUCGUAUUUAUUUCUUAAUAUUUUUUCUCUAUUUAUUAAGAAUAAUUGUAUUUACCAACGCUGGUGCCUUUAUUAUAUGUUACGCGAACAAAUUUAAUUUUUUUCUUAUAUUUUGUUACACAUUUUAAUUUAGUUUUGUAGUUAAUAUGUUUUAAUUUAAUAUCACAUUUUAUUGUAAAAACUUAUAAUUCUGUAUUUGCGCAGCAAUUUGUUGUGCAAGCGCCUCAAUUUUUACUACUUUUUUUCUCCACUUAAAAACACGUGUAUUUUAUAAGUAAACACAUUUUUUAUGUAAAUGAAAAGAUUUUUUUAAAGAUUUAAAUUAAAAUUUAUUAUUUAAAAUUCAUUUAAACUAAAAUUCACAUUGAGUUAAAAUUGGCUUUAAAUAUUCGUUAUUUACAGGCAAGUUUGUAAGUUUUUGUUGAUUUGACACAAAACAGGGUCAUUCAUAAGAAUUAAAAUAAUUAGCAUUAUUUAGUAUUUUUUAAAACAACAUGUGUGCAGUGCCAUAAAUAUUUAUGAAAAAUAAAUCUCUUAAAUCCAUAAAAAUUAUUUACACUUUAAAGAAAUUAAAUUUAAAAUUAAAAAUGUAUGCAUAUGUAUGUAAGUCUACAAUUGAGCAAAAAAAUUUCUUAAAAUACAGUUUUAUUUAAAAAAUUUCCAUUUAAAACCUAAAACGUUUAUAACAACAAUUUAAUGAUUAUGUUUAUUUUGCUUAAUUAUUUAAAUUAAGCGGUAAACAUAUUUUUGGCAUAUUUAAAAUAUUGAUUUUUUAUGAUAAUUUUAUAUUAAGUUGUAUUUGCAUAAAUAAUAUUUUUUACAAUAAUUAUUUAUUUAAUAUCAUUUUACAAUUUUUUUCAUAAUUGUUGUUUUUUUUCUUAUUCUAAUAUUUUAGAAAAAUAUAUGUAAAAAUUUCUUUUUCAUUCGCAUCAUUCUGUAAAUUUGACAGAAAGAGAAAAUUCCAGUCUACGUAAAAUAAUUUAAAUUGCGAAAAAUAUAUAAAAUAUACAUAAAUCUGAAACUUUUUCUAAAAUAACAUCCCAUAUAACAUAUAAAACAAAUUUUGCAAGAAUUUUGUGAAUUUAUUUAUUUUUAUUCAUUACUAAUAAUGUGGUUUAAAUAAUUUUGUAUGACAUUUUAUUUCUUUCAUUUCUUGAAUAUUACUUUAUGAAUACGAUUAUUUCUACUCUAGUAAUACAUAUUUUUUGAAAUAGUAUUGUUUUUUUUAGCAACUUUUUACUUUAAUUUAUCUUAAAGUGAGAACAAUAUUUUACACCACGUGAAUUGUUUGUCUUAUCUUCUUCUUAUCUAUAUAUUAUGCACUCCAAUUUAUCACCAUCGUUUCCGAAUUGUAUUAAGAGUUUCUGUUUAAGGUAGCUUAGAAAAAAUCUGGUUUGAAUAAAGCGUUAUUUUUCCUAUAUUUAUAUAAUUUUUUGUUUGAAUUUCAAUAAUAUUUAGUUUUUUUUAUAAAUAAAUACAUUUUUAAUAAUUUCACAUCUAAUAGUUUCACAUCAGAAAAAGUAGGGAUUCUUUCACGGUCUGUCUCUGCUAAAAGUGAUAAAUUUACUCUUAAUAUCCAGUAACCUUUUCUAAAAGUUAUUUAUUUGAUGUUGUUGCUGUAAUAUUAUUGCGAAACUUGUCUACAAAUGAGUUUCAGGCGUAGUCUAACGGUAGUUUUCACAAACAAGUUAUCUUUUCCGACAACUCCGCUCUGGAUAACCGCAACGGACCCGUUUUACAUCUCGUGAAGAAGUAUGAUCCCAGCAAUUUUUCGAAAAUCAUUUAUCGGAUAAUUAUGUUGCUAAUAUGACAAAGUCACGUGGUUAAUGCCUUGUGUUGAGACUCAGGUCAUGGAAAUCUUAAUAUUGAAUGAGUUUCUACAGUUCACAAAUGCAAUUGUGGUAUUGUUAGGAUCAAAAUGUCUUCUAGGUGUGCAACAAUAGUUAAUAAGGUGUUAGUGGAGUGAUCUUAAGUGCUUGUAUAAAAGAGGAUCAACUGUGUUAUUAUUAUUUCUAUAUAUGUAUGUGGGAAAUGAUGUUUAAAGUGAAUUUUUUUUUUGUUUAUAUUCUGAAGAUUGUAUAUAUGUAUAUCUGAAUCUUAAUAUUUUAUAUUUAUUUCGAUUUGUAUAAGUUCGAAAAUAUUUGAGACUUAUAUUUUUAUAUUCCUCGAAGCAUUUGAAUCAAUAUUUUAAUUGAUUUAAAUUAACCCAUUCUCAUCCAUACUUCCACUUUCUCGUGCGAAUUUUUCCCUUGACUUGCGAACAUAUGUAUGUAUGAUCUGAAUAUUUCCAUAAGAAUUUAUAUAAAAUUAAAUUUGUAUAUAUUCUUGGGAGCGCUUGUGAUGCAAUUUAAAUAAUAUGUAUUAGUCAUUUUAAAUUUAGUAGUAUGAGUAGUUAGUAGUAAAAAGUGAAUUAAAUGCAUAAUAAGUGACAUAGGUGCUUAGGUAAAUAUAUUUAAUGUAAGCAAGUGCUAUUGUGUAAUUUUCGCGAAAAAAAAUAUUAAGGCCAGAAGCAAUAACUCGAUUGUUUUUUAAUGAAAAAAAAAUAUUUUUAUUUGAUUAAUUUUUUGUUAAAAAUAUUUUUUCAUUAUUUUGUUUUUUAUAUACAAAAUUUGUUUUUCAUUUAUUUUUUUAAGUUUUUAAUAUUUUUUUAAUUUUACUUUUUUAUUAAUUUUUUUUUAAUAUUUAAUAUUUUAAUAAAUUUUAAUAUUUUUUACUAAAUACAGCUCUAUAUGUAGUUGUAAAAAAAAAUAUUUUUUUUUUAUUUUUGUUGUUAAUUCUGCCCUCUCAAUUUUAAUCUUCAACUAAAUAUUAACAAUAAUAACAAAUACUUGAAAACUCACAUACACAUAAACAUUCAUCUAUACACUUACACAAACACAUCCACACACACACAUAUAUAAAUAAAAUUAUAUGAAUUCGAUCUUAUAAUAAAAUACUGUGAUACUAAAUUUUACUAGUACUUCCAGCAUAGCUGCAUUUUAUCCAUUCUAAAAUAUUCUAAAAGCUUACAUUAUGGUAAAUAAUAUUGAAUAUUGAAUAUUGAGACAUGCAUCGACGCAUUGGCGCAUAAGUCAAAUAGUAAAGUUAAAAGUAAAGUAAAACCAAAAAAAAAAAACAAAGUUAAAGCAGAGCGAUACAAUGUAUUGUCUCAACGAACGGAUCGGUUAUGUGAAUUAUUAGUCUUGCAAUGUGUGUCACAUGACACAUAGCGUAACGUAACGUAACGUAAUGACUUAGUAGCAACGUUUAAGAAAUUGUUGAAUUAGGCAAACGAAGAAUAAAUUUGAGAAACAAAAGAGUAACAACAAAUUAAUUAAUUAUUGAUUACUAAAUAUAACUUAGGCAUUAACUCAACCCUUCCACUAUAGAGAAAACAAAAGAAAAACAAAAAACAACAACAACAAAUGAAAAUUUAUUAAAAUUAUAUGCAAAAAGAAAUUAAUAAAUCUUAAAAUGCUAGACAAGCAAGUCAGAAUUAUAGCAAUUUAAAAAAAAUAUAUAAGAAAAUACAUUUUUAACGGUAAUUAGCGAGCAGCUGGCGAGCGUCACUCUUGAACUUAUUAUAUAAAAUACUUGAAUGAAUUAUUUCAAAAGCUCAUUUAGUGGUUAUGCCACUCACACACUCACUCACUCAUACAUACAUAUGUAAUAAUAAAAAAACAGCUGUUGAAAGUUUUUAAUAAACAAAUGCAUACAUACAUACUUACACUAUGUUACACAAAUUUAUGUAGCAACAAAAACACACAGUAGUAUACUAGUUGAGGUUAUGAUGAAAUGCAAAAUGGUACAAAACAUACAUACAUACAUAGAAAGUAAUCAACAGUGCUCCAUUAACCAGAAAAAAAAUCUCAUGCGAUAAAAAAUAAAUAUCAUGCUACAAAAAUAUAAAAAUAAUUGCAAAGUAAAAAGAAAUUAAAUACAAAAUAAAAAUAA